rnacentral:rRNA from 1 species
CGAGGAAACUCGGAUUAAUACCUGAUAUUCUUUAUUUCUCGCAUGAGAAUAAAAGGAAAGGUCAGCCGAACUAAGAUGAGCUCGCGUUCUAUCAGCUAGUUGGUGAGGUAAAAGCUUACCAAGGCUACGACGGAUAGCUGGUCUGAGAGGACGAUCAGCCACACUGGGACUGAGACACGGCCCAGACUCCUACGGGAGGCUGCAGCAGGGAAUAUUGUGCAAUGAACGAAAGUUUGACACAGCGACACCGCGUGUGGGAUGACGGAUCUAGGUUUGUAAACCACUUUCAGGAGGGAAGAAAAUGACGGUACCUCCACAAGAAGCCCCGGCCAACUACGUGCCAGCAGCCGCGGUAAUACGUAGGGGGCGAGCGUUGUCCGGAUUUAUUGGGCGUAAAGAGCUCGUAGGCGGUUCAACAAGUCGGUAGUAAAAGUUCAGGGCUCAACCCUGAAAUGUCUAUCGAUACUGUUGUGACUAGGAUACGGCAGAGGUGAGUGGAAUUCCGAGUGUAGCGGUGAAAUGCGUAGAUAUUCGGAGGAACACCAAUUGCGAAGGCAGCUCACUGGGCCGCUAUCGACGCUGAGGAGCGAAAGCUAGGGGAGCAAACAGGAUUAGAUACCCUGGUAGUCCUAGCUGUAAACGAUGGAUACUAGACGUAGGAACUGGAUUGACGGUUUCUGUGUCGUAGCUAACGCGUUAAGUAUCCCGCCUGGGGAGUACGGUCGCAAGACUAAAACUCAAAGGAAUUGACGGGACCCCGCACAAGCGGCGGAGCAUGCGGCUUAAUUCGAUGAUACCCGUAGAACCUUACCUGGACUUGACAUAUAGGAUCCAGCUAUAGAGAUAUAGUGUGCAUUAGCGUCCUAUACAGGUGGUGCAUGGCUGUCGUCAGCUCGUGUCGUGA